CUGACGAGCGCGUCCGGGUCAAUUGCGGACUGCAACACCCGAUCUCCCUCCCCGUUCCUCCAUCGAUGGAGGUCGAGGAAGGGGAACGCGUCACCAUCAG
ncrna:unclassified sequences L4-Archaeoglobi ribosomal protein leader